rfam:Myotis brandtii contig298801, whole genome shotgun sequence.
GGUGGUUCUCGGGUGACACACCCCAGAAUUGGGCUCCCUCCACUCUGGUUCCAGGUGCGUCACCCGAGAACUGCA